ACUUUACAAUGCUGGCAACAACGAUAAGGGAACCUCGAGUGCCAGGUUACAAAUCUGGCUGUCGCGAUGCCUAAAAAGCAUUUCAUAGCAAGGGCCGGGCAAGACCGGUGCCAGCCGCCGCGGUAACACCGGCGGCUCGAGUGGUACCCGUUAUUAUUGGGUCUAAAGGGUCUGUAGCCGGCCGGAUAAGUCUCUUGAGAAAUCUGGCAGCUUAACUGUCAGGCUUUCAGGGGAUACUGUCUGGCUCGAGGCCGGGAGAGGUGAGAGGUACUUCAGGGGUAGGGGUGAAAUCUUGAAAUACGUGGAGGAACACCAGUGGCGAAGGCGUCUCACCAGAACGGACCUGACGGCGAGGGACGAAAGCU
rnacentral:rRNA from 1 species